CUGUAGUGAUGGGCAGAUGAAACCUCAUUGGGUGUAUGGCACAUUUCCCAAACUGUAUCGACACUGUGUUGAAACUGUGUUGCUGUAUCACUUAAUGGCGACAUCUGCUGGACUAAGAAAGUCAUUGCAAGCAACUGCGCGAAGAAAUGCAUCGGUCACGUGGUUUUCCUUAAAAUGAUACGCGGUCUGACACAGGGGUUCGCCUUGUUUGCUCGGUGCAUGCGCUGAAGUUUCAGUGUCGUCAGACCCAUCGCUACCAAACGAUACAGGAAGUGUAUCGGUCACGUGGUUUUCCUUAACAUGAUACGCGCACCGACACGGGGUUUCGCCUUGACAGCUCGGCGCAUGUGUCGAGGUUUCAGGGUCGUCAGACCCAUCACUACUAAACUGGUUUAGUGGAUAUUAAUGGUGUAAAUGUCGUUUUUAUUCGCUUAAAUACUGCAAAAUACUUACAGACAUGAUGGAUAAUUCGUCAGCCGACAUGUAACUGUGCUGCAGGAUCUGGAAGAAGAGAGGAGACUGAAGAAACAACGAUAAGCUGAUUUUAAAUCUUUAAAAGAGUAUAUUUUUUCAAUUUCCAUAUUUUUAAAUCCAACACAAUGGAAAGCACAACCCUUAUACACCUGUUCUGUUACCUACUGGAAAUCCUGCACUACAAUUCUGGAUAGAAGGGAAAGAAUCAUAAUGGCCCGAAGCUUGAACAUGAUUUUUAUUUUAAUUUUUAUGUCCUUCUUGGACUUGGGACCACGUUGUUCAGCAUGUGCUCAAUUUGAAUACGAAACUCGUGGUGGGAAUUGUUGUCCUAAGUGUGAACAAGGGACACGGGUUAAGAAGGAUUGUACAAAAAUGAAUGACACUGUCUGUAUUCCGUGUAUGGGCGCAACUUUCCUUGAUGCCUACAACAACCAAACAGAGUGCUACAACUGUACAAUCUGUGAUCCU